rnacentral:tRNA from 1 species
GGUGAGGUGUCCGAGCACGCCUGGAAAGUGUGUAUACGGCAACGUAUCGGGGGUUCGAAUCCCCCCCUCACCGCCA